AUUGAACGCUGGCGGCAGGCCUACCACAUGCAAGUCGAGCGGAGCGGCGGACGGGUGCGUAAUGCCUAGGAAUCUGCCUGGUCGUGUGGGAUAACGUCCGGAUACGGGCGCUUAUACCGCAUCCUAUCAGAUUAGCCUAGGUCGGAUUAGCUAGUUGGUGGGGUAAAGGCCUACCAAGGCGACGAUCCGUAACUGGUCUGAGAGGAUGAUCAGUCAAACUGGAACGGAGACACGGUCCAGAAUCCUACGGGAGGCAGCAGUGGGGAAUAUUGGACAAUGGGGGAAAGCCUGAUGCAGCCAUGCGGCGGGUGUGAAGAAGGUAUUCGGAUUGUAAAGCACGUUAAGUUGGGAGGCGUUACCAACAGAAUAAGCACCGGCUAACUUCGUGCCAGCCGCCGCGGUAAUAC
rnacentral:rRNA from 1 species